rnacentral:rRNA from 1 species
CGGGUGCACUGAUCCAGCCGGGCCUUUCCCUCUGUGGAACCCCAUGGCCUUCACUGGCUGUGGUGGGGAAACAGGACUUUUACUUUGAAAAAAUUAGAGUGCUCCAGGCAGGCCUAUGCUCGAAUACAUUAGCAUGGAAUAAUAGAAUAGGACGUGUGGUUCUAUUUUGUUGGUUUCUAGGACCGCCGUAAUGAUUAAUAGGGACAGUCGGGGGCAUCAGUAUUCAAUUGUCAGAGGUGAAAUUCUUGGACCUAUUGAAGACUAACUACUGCGAAAGCAUUUGCCAAGGAUGUUUUCAUUGAUAAGGAACGAAAGUUAGGGGAUCGAAGACGAUCAGAUACCGUCGUAGUCUUAACUAUAAACUAUGCCGACUAGGGAUCGGACGAUGUUAUUCUUUGACGCGUUCGGCACCUUUCGAGAAAUCAAAGUGCUUGGGCUCCAGGGGGAGUAUGGUCGCAAGGCUGAAACUUAAAGAAAUUGACGGAAGGGCACCACCAGGGGUGGAACCUGCGGCUUAAUUUGACUCAACACGGGGAAACUCACCAGGUCCAGACACAGUGAGGAUUGACAGAUUGAGAGCUCUUUCUUGAUUCUGUGGGUGGUGGUGCAUGGCCGUUCUUAGUUGGUGGAGUGAUUUGUCUGCUUAAUUGCGAUAACGAACGAGACCUUAACCUGCUAAAUAGCCCGUACUGCUUUGGCAGUUCGCCGGCUUCUUAGAGGGACUAUCGG